rnacentral:lncRNA from 1 species
CUGAUCCCUUUCGCUUUAUGGCGUGCUCGUUUGGGUUGGGCGUCGGCUAAGAGUGCUCGGAGCGUGGAUUAACUCCAGUCUCCAAUCAGGUGUGUAUUUAUCACUACUCUUGUUGUUGGAUGGCUACUUCGGGCCGAAAGGGGCCAUAUGGGCCCAAUGGGCCUACGGGCCCAAUUGGAUAAGUUGUUUGAUUGUGUAGUAAAUAUUGGACUAGGCUAGGUGAAUCGCAUAUCUGUGGUUAGGUUUGGGCUAAAAGGGCCACACGAGCGUGCGGGCCCAUUUGGGCCGAGAAUAGGCUUUAGGCCCAUUCGUAUUGUUAUCCAUGUUUAGAAUACUUUAGUUUACCAAUUACUGAAAUGCCCUCGACUUGUAAAAUUACCAAAGUACUCCCGAAUUAUAGAAUUACCGUUUUACCCUUGAUUUACAGAAUUACCGUUUUACCCUCGAUUUUUAAAAUUACCGUUUUACCCUCGAUUUACAGAAUUAUCGUUUUACCCUUAGUUUACAGAAUUACCGUUUUACCCUCGAUUUACAGAAUUACCAUUUUACCCUCAGUUUACAGAAUUAUUGUUUUACCCUCAAUUUAUAGAAUUACCAUUUUACCCUCGAUUUGUAAAAUUAUCAUUUUACCCUCGAUUUAUAGAAUUACCAUUUUACCCUCAGUUUACAGAAUUACUGUUUUACCCUCGAUUUACAAAAUUACCAUUUUACCCUCAGUUUACAGAAUUACUGUUUUACCCUCGAUUUAUAGAAUUACCAUUUUACCCUCGAUUUGUAAAAUUACCGUUUUACCCUUGAUUUACAGAAUUACUAGUUUAUCCUCAGUUUACAAAAUUAUCAUUUUACCCUCGAUUUACAGAAUUACCGUUUUACCCUCGAUUGUGAAAUUACUGAAAUACCCCUGUAGGGUAGAAUUUUUAAAAUACCCCUAUAGGGUAGAAUUACUGAAAUACCCUUAUAGGAUAGAAUUACCAAAAUACCCCUGUAGGGUAGAAUUAUCGAAAUACCCUUGUAGGGUAGAAAUACCGAAAUACCCCUAUACGGUAGAAUUAUCGAGAUACCCUUGUGGGGUAAAAUUACCAUUUUGCCCCUAGGGUGUUAAAUGACUGUUUUGCCCUUGUGGGCAAGUGACUAACUUGAACUGUGUGUUUGACGGAUUUGAUUGUGAAUAUAUGUUGGUGAUAUGAAUGACUUGACUGUGAUUGUUUGAUUCAAAUAUGGGCAUGACAUUCUGCAUACAUGACAUGUUGCAUGGGUUGGGAUUUUGUACGAAGGAAGCGUUCUGGUGGCUAUGCCACAAAUAUCUGUUCUGGUGGCCCUGCCACAAUAUCUGUAUUUGGUGACUCUGUCACAAUAUCUGUUGACCGAUUGAUGGCUAAGUGCCGAUCACGCUACCAAAGGCUGUGUGCCGUUGUUGUGGGCUUCGUGCCGAUUAUAGACCCGCUAUUAAUGGCUCUGUGCCAACCUAAAUAUGGCUUUGUGCCAUCUUGACUAUGGCUUCGUGCCAAACGUAUUUACCUGUAGCUAUGUGCCUAACAUAUUUGUUGACGACUCUGUGUCGAUCAUAUUUACCGAAGGCUGUGCGCCAGUUGUAUUACCGUCACUGAUGGCUAUGUGCCGAAGUUAUUACAGUUAUCUAUGGCUUUGUGCCACGUAUUCUGUUAGGUGGGUUUGCCACAUUAUCUAAUUCUGGUGGCUCUGCCACUAUAUCUGUAUCUGGUGACUCUGUCACGAUAUCUGUUCUGACAGCCAUGCUGCAAAUUCUGUAGUGUGUAGCGGAUGGGUGGGUCGAGUUGUCUCCCCACAUGGUGUAAGGUUGGUACGAUGGUGUAUACGGCUGGAUUGGGUUGGGAUUGCAUUCAUAUUCUAAUUCUGAUUCUGUCACCUAAUUCUGAUUCUGAUUCUAAUUAUGUUACUAAUACUGAUUCUAAUUCUGUUACUGAUUCUGAUUCUGAUUCUGUCACCUAAUUCUGAUUUUGAUUCUGAUUCUGUUACUAAUAUUGAUUCUGAUUCUGUUACUGAUUCUGAUUCUGAUUCUCAUUUUGGUUCCAAUUCUGAUAAUGUUUCUUAUUCUGUAAUGGGCUAAGGUCCAUCUGGUACUGUUUGUUGUAAUGGGCUAAGACCCGAUUGGUACUGAAAUUGUAAGUAAGGCUGGGGCCAGACUUUUAAUUCUUUUAGAUGACUGACUAUUCCUUUUUAUAGUAGGGGAUUUCACACUGAGUUUUCGUAAACUCACCCCGUUUAUUAACCUUUCAGGUAAUUUCCAGCCUUAGAUGGAUCGGGGUUGCUAAGGGCUCGGAGGAAGCCACACACACUAUUUAUGUUACAGUUUUGAUUAUUACCUUUAAAUUAUUUUAUGUGGGUUGUAGUAAAGCCGUUGUAAUUUUUUGGAUCUCAAAUUUGGAAUUUUAUUUAUUGUUCUUAUAAUUGCUAGUAUUAGAACACGAUUUUCCAAAGUAACUACUGUUAUUCAAAACAUCACGUAACCGCAAUUGUUU